rnacentral:rRNA from 1 species
CAGUCGCCACGGUAAUACGUAGGGUGCAAGCGUUAAUCGGAAUUACUGGGCGUAAAGCGUGCGCAGGCGGUUUUGUAAGACAGAGGUGAAAUCCCCGGGCUCAACCUGGGAACUGCCUUUGUGACUGCAAGGCUAGAGUACGGCAGAGGGGGAUGGAAUUCCGCGUGUAGCAGUGAAAUGCGUAGAGAUGCGGAGGAACACCGAUGGCGAAGGCAAUCCCCUGGGCCUGUACUGACGCUCAUGCACGAAAGCGUGGGGAGCAAACAGGAUUAGAUACCCCGGUAGUCCCUGUCUCUUAUAC